UACGGAGGGUGCAAGCGUUGUCCGGAAUCACUGGGCGUAAAGGGCGCGUAGGCGGCUCAUGAAGGCUGUGGUGAAAGUCCGGGGCUCAACCUCGGAUCGGCCGUGGCGACUCGUGGGCUGGAGCACUGUAGAGGCGGGUGGAAUUCCGAGUGUAGAGGUGAAAUUCGUAGAUAUUCGGAAGAACACCAGUGGCGAAGGCGACUUACUGGACACAUAUUGACGCUGAGGUGCGAAAGCGUGGGGAGCAAACAGG
rnacentral:rRNA from 1 species